AUUGAACGCUGGCGGCAUGCCUUACACAUGCGAGUCGAACGGCAGCGGGGGAGAAGCUUGCUUUUCCUGCCGGCGAGUGGCGAACGGGUGAGUAAUACAUCGGAACGUGCCCUGUAGUGGGGGAUAACUAGUCGAAAGAUCAGCUAAUGCCGCAUACGACCUGAGGGUGAAAGUGGGGGACCGCAAGGCCUCAUGCUAUAGGAGCGGCCGAUGUCUGAUUAGCUAGUUGGUGGGGUAAAGGCCUACCAAGGCGACGAUCAGUAGCUGGUCUGAGAGGACGAUCAGCCACACUGGGACUGAGACACGGCCCAGACUCCUACGGGAGGCAGCAGUGGGGAAUUUUGGACAAUGGGCGAAAGCCUGAUCCAGCAAUGCCGCGUGUGUGAAGAAGGCCUUCGGGUUGUAAAGCACUUUUGUCCGGAAAGAAAUGGCUCUGGUUAAUACCUGGGGUCGAUGACGGUACCGGAAGAAUAAGGACCGGCUAACUACGUGCCAGCCGCCGCGGUAA
rnacentral:rRNA from 1 species